GUUUCUGUAGUUAAGAGAAUAAUGGCGGUUUUUCAGGCCGCAGACCUCGGGUGCCGUCCGAGCAGAAAUU
rnacentral:tRNA from 1 species